rnacentral:rRNA from 1 species
UACGAAGGGGGCUAGCGUUGCUCGGAAUCACUGGGCGUAAAGCGCACGUAGGCGGCUUUCUAAGUCAGGGGUGAAAUCCUGGAGCUCAACUCCAGAACUGCCUUUGAUACUGGAGAGCUUGAGUCCGGAAGAGGUGAGUGGAACUCCGAGUGUAGAGGUGAAAUUCGUAGAUAUUCGGAAGAACACCAGUGGCGAAGGCGGCUCACUGGUCCGGUAUUGACGCUGAGGUGCGAAAGCGUGGGGAGCAAACAGG